rnacentral:rRNA from 1 species
AUUGAACGCUGGCGGCGUGCUUAACACAUGCAAGUCGUGCGGUAACAGGCGUAGCAAUACGUGCUGACGAGCGGCGAACGGGUGCGUAAUACAUGGGAAUCUGCCCUUUGGUGGGGAAUAACCCGGCGAAAGCCGGGCUAAUGCCGCAUAAGAACUCCGGUUGAAAGCGGGGGAUCGUAAGACCUCGCGCCGUUGGAUGAGCCCAUGUCGGAUUAGCUAGGUGGUGAGGUAACGGCUCACCAAGGCGACGAUCCGUAGCUGGUCUGAGAGGACGGCCAGCCACACUGGGACUGAGACACGGCCCAGACUCCUACGGGAGGCAGCAGUGGGGAAUAUUGGACAAUGGGGGAAACCCUGAUCCAGCGACGCCGCGUGUGUGAAGAAGGCCUGCGGGUUGUAAAGCACUUUCGAUGGGAACGAAAUGUGCCGGGCUAAUAUCCCGGCAAGCUGACGUUACUCAAUGAAGAAGCACCGGCUAACUCUGUGCCAGCCGCCGCGGUAACAC